CCAGAACCCAAACCGAAGGAAGAAACACAGACCCAAACCAGAGCCUACCCAUCUUUUUCUUGAACCUUGCUUUAUAAACUUCAUAUUCUUCCCUUCACUAUCCUCAAGAAUCUCCAUAUAAUCAGCGACAGCGUGAGGCUUUCCUCCUUCGAAAAGAAAAACCAACAGCUCCAUCUUUAACGUCUUCACGAAGAGUUUUGGAUCAUGGAAAACCUAGAAAAUGGAUUUUUCUUGGAAUACAAGGCAACCUAGAAAUCCCCUGUCUCAGUUCUUCUAAUGUUAUCAGCAUAGCCAGGGAGCUUCACGAAUAAUGUCACGCGCGGCUCCCUGAUUUUAGCCCCUUACCCAUAACCCAAUAUCGAUGCACAAGUUGCGUUGGAACCUCACAUGAAAGCACGAACGAACCAUCUUUGCUUAAGGCAAGACCAUUCGGGAAAUGAAGACGGGACCGUCCAUUGCAACUUUGGCCUCUUUCAAGUUUCAUCCUAUUGUCGUAUCGAACCGCUUGCCCGUCUUUUCCCACAUAUUAAAGUAACAGUUUCGGUAUAUUCCCACAUUUUUGGUUAUUAUUGUUUAUAUUUUUCAAAUAAACCACAAUCUUAAGUGCAAUUCAACCAUUUUUCAAAUUAUCUCUGUUUUUUUUUAUUUCCUUUUCUUUUUAUAAUUGUGAGAAUCUCACUUUGCUAAAAGCAAAAAAGUUAAUCUCACUUCGGAAAAUACAAAAACAGGACUUGUAUUUUUAUUUUGUUAGACGGUUUUUGUUUUAAAAUUUAUUAUGCGGAUACUACAUUGUUUUCACUUUAUAACGUGUCUCUCUCUGUCUUAUGUUUCUUUUUAGAACUGAUUCUGUUUGAGGUGGAAAGAAAAAUAGUCUGCUUCAUCUUUCGGAAGGCAAAUUCCAAUAUGUCGUACGUUUCUUUUCUUACCGGUUAAAACAACCAUUAGAAAGAUCAAAGAUGUUGUCUUGAAAACCUAUUUACAACAACCCACAAGAUUAUAAGUUUGCGAUAAGUAGUUAACCAUACCCAUGUUUCACUGACUAAUGCAUCAAACUCCUCACACAUAACUUGUCUUUCAAUCCAGAUCCUUCGUCACUAGAAAAACUAUCAUUGGUUCGCUAAAGGUAGAUUCUGAGAAGGAUGCAGUGAGUGAGAGCUCGGUUUAGAAAUUAUAUUUUUGGCUCGUGUUUGCAUUGGUGGGUGUUAACUGUAAUGUUGGUGACGGUGGGAUUACGUGGUCUAGGGGGUGAUGGUGCAGUUUCAGGUAAUAAAGUUUAGAAGACUAUAUAUAGUUUCGAAAUUUCUAGGACUAGAGAUAGUCUAAGCUUUAUUUGCUGUUCAAUCAAGAAAUUAAU
rnacentral:lncRNA from 1 species